rnacentral:rRNA from 1 species
GACGAACGCUGGCGGCGUGCUUAACACAUGCAAGUCGAACGGAAAGGCCCUGCUUUUGUGGGUUGCUCGAGUGGCGAACGGGUGAGUAACACGUGAGUAACCUGCCCUUGACUUUGGGUUAACUUCAGGAAACUGGGGCUAAUACCGGAUAGGAGCUCCUGCUGCAUGGUGGGGGUUGGAAAGUUUCGGCGGUUGGGGAUGGACUCGCGGCUUAUCAGCUUGUUGGUGGGGUAGUGGCUUACCAAGGCUUUGACGGGUAGCCGGCCUGAGAGGGUGACCGGCCACAUUGGGACUGAGAUACGGCCCAGACUCCUACGGGAGGCAGCAGGGGGGAAUAUUGCACAAUGGGCGGAAGCCUGAUGCAGCAACGCCGCGUGCGGGAUGACGGCCUUCGGGUUGUAAACCGCUUUCGCCUGUGACGAAGCGUGAGUGACGGUAAUGGGUAAAGAAGCACCGGCUAACUACGUG